AUUGAACGCUGGCGGCAGGCUUAACACAUGCAAGUCGAGCGGGGUGAUGGUGCUUGCACUAUCACUUAGCGGCGGACGGGUGCGUAAUGCUUAGGAAUCUGCCUAUUAGUGGGGGACAACGGUUCGAAAGGAACGCUAAUACCGCAUACGUCCUACGGGAGAAAGCAGGGGAUAUUCGGACCUUGUGCUAAUAGAUGAGCCUAAGUCGGAUUAGCUAGUUGGUGGGGUAAAGGCCUACAAAGGCGACGAUCUGUAGCAGGUCUGAGAGGAUGAUCCGCCACGCUGGGACUGGGACACGGCCCAGACGCCUACGGGAGGCAGCAGUGGGGAAUAUUGGAAAAUGGGCGAAAGCCUGAUCCAGCCAUGCCGCGUGUGUGAAGAAGGCCUUUUGGUUGUAAAGCACUUUAAGCGAGGAGGAGGAGCUUCAGGUUAAUACCCUGGAUGCUUGGACGUUACUCGCAGAAGAAGCACCGGCUAACUCUGUGCCAGCAGCCGCCGUAA
rnacentral:rRNA from 1 species